UACAGAGGGCCCAAGCGUUGUUCGGAUUCACUGGGCGUAAAGGGUGCGUAGGCGGUUGGGUAAGUCUGAUGUGAAAUCUCACAGCUUAACUGUGAAACUGCAUUGGAUACUAUCCGGCUAGAGGAAUGGAGGGGAGACUGGAAUACUUGGUGUAGCAGUGAAAUGCGUAGAUAUCAAGUGGAACACCAGUGGCGAAGGCGAGUCUCUGGACAUUUCCUGACGCUGAGGCACGAAAGCCAGGGGAGCAAACGGG
rnacentral:rRNA from 1 species